GAUGAACGCUAGCGGGAGGCCUAACACAUGCAAGCCGAGCGGUAGAGAUUCUUCGGAAUCUUGAGAGCGGCGUACGGGUGCGGAACACGUGUGCAACCUACCUUUAUCUGGAGGAUAGCCUUUCGAAAGGAAGAUUAAUACUCCAUAAUAUAUUGAUUGGCAUCAAUUGAUAUUGAAAGCUCCGGCGAUAGAGAUGGGCACGCGCAAAGAUUAGUUAGUUGGUGAGGUAACGGCUCACCAAGACGAUGAUCUUUAGGGGGCCUGAGAGGGUGAUCCCCCACACUGGUACUGAGACACGGACCAGACUCCUACGGGAGGCAGCAGUGAGGAAUAUGGUCAAUGGGUGC
rnacentral:rRNA from 1 species